rnacentral:rRNA from 1 species
CACGUAGGCACCAAGCGUUGUUCGGAUUCAUUGGGCGUAAAGGGUGCGUAGGCGGCGCGGUAAGUCGGGUGUGAAAUCUCGGAGCUUAACUCCGAAACUGCAUUCGAUACUGCCGUGCUUGAGGACUGGAGAGGAGACUGGAAUUUACGGUGUAGCGGUGAAAUGCGUAGAUAUCGUAAGGAAGACCAGUGGCGAAGGCGGGUCUCUGGACAGUUCCUGACGCUGAGGCACGAAGGUCAGGGGAGCAAACGGG